GGAGAAGAGCCUGAAAAAGACAGGCGUCCUGCGAAGAAGAAAGAGCUUAGGGAGUUCCUGUGUGUCCAGUUGACGGACAAGGGGACGCACAGGUGGAGAUGCAGACACAUUGCAUAUCGCACAGAGACCCAGAGGUUAUGCUGUGCAACUCCCACCUUUACCUGAGCAAUGCGCAGGCUCUCCAGAGAUAGUCCAGGGAAGCUGGAACUGUUUGGAUGACCCCUUUUGGAAUCAGGAGGACCCUGAAAGAAGUCUGAGUAGCCUCAGCUCUGCAGACACACACACACCAAGUGAUCUGAGGGCCAUUCCUUUCAUUGUUAGUCCUGUUGAGAUGACACCGCUCACUCCAGUUCCUCCACCUCCUCGAGCAGCUUGUCCAUCGCAAUUGCCUGUUUUCUCUGCUAAACAUUCAGGAGCAGGUCGGUUCAAAGACACGAAGGUCAUUCGUGGAAUAAGAGUCUUGACAGCAAAAGACAAAUUUGGGCC
ensembl:lncRNA